GGUUGUUGCCAUUGUUCGGAUGGGAACCACCGAUGAUGGAGGAGAUGGCGGCGGCAAGGGCGGCAGUAAAGUUGGGGUCGGCAGUGAUGGCGGCCGUGGCGGCGGAAAGUGUAUCAGAAAAUGAGGGGUGGUGAAUAUUGUCUUGAGAGACUUGUAAACCUGAAAAUCUUGAUUGGUUAUACAAAGCCUGGCCCAAAACCUGAGGCAUUUGUGGAGCUGACAUUGAACCAACAAAAUUCGGAUGAUUAAGACCAGCUGGUAAAGGAACUUGGAAUUGUGUAGCUGGAUUUCUUUGAUGAUAAUUAGACAUUGCAUUUGGAUUUUGAGUAAGGUCCAAUGUUACAGUAGGAAAUGGAGCUGAUGCUGAAAUAGUUGCCAUAUUUGAUGAACAUGGAAGAAUGGUCCUUGCUAGGAAAUUUGUAUUCAUUAAACCAUCAGCACUUGGCAUUGAACCAGACAGCAACAUGUUUGCUGCUGCUGAAGUGGUGGAUGCCAUAGCCAUGGCUGCUGGUGGUAGUGGGUGGUUAUGUGUACCUUCAUAUGUUGUUAUUAAGAUUGUUCUGUCCUCAGCACACCUUUGCACCUGAACAUUUAUGUCAAUAUUACACAUUAGACUUACUUCAAUUUUAUGGGUAAAGGUGAUCUGAUUGUGUAAAAAUGGUAUAUAUUACUUAAACUCGUAAAUUAAACAUAGAUGAAUGUACCUGUUUGCGCACUGGACAACCAACAGCCAUGGUGCAACGAUAAUAAGCUCGUGGACAUGGAUUACCUUUUGCCAUCUUCUGACCAUAUUUUCUCCACUGGCAACCAUCACUUAUCUACAAAAUUUUCAGACACAUGACUUAGUUUGAUGCAGAAAUAAUUAACAUGUUACUACAUAACAGUACAUAAAAACUAUGCUUAACAAGUUAUGUACCAUGGGAGCUUCUGAUCGGGCACGGACAGAAACACGAGCUUUCCUCAUGGUUGCUUCUGUUGUUUGUUCAACAGGUUUUGAGGAAUUCAUCAAUUUAGGAACCUUGUUG
rnacentral:lncRNA from 1 species